UUUCCCUCAGGAUAGCUGGCACUCGCUCGAUAGCGAGUCUCAUCUGGUAAAGCGAAUGAUUAGAGGCCUUGGGGCCGAAACGACCUCAACCUAUUCUCAAACUUUAAAUGGGUGAGAUCUCUGGCUUGCUUGAACGUUGAAGCCAUGAGAUCGCGUCUCGUUGUGCUAAAACACGGCGAGAGUGCCUUACGGAUCAGAGUGCCAAGUGGGCCAAUUUUGGUAAGCAGAACUGGCGCUGUGGGA
rnacentral:rRNA from 1 species